rnacentral:rRNA from 1 species
AAAGCCUGAUCCAGCCAUGCCGCGUGUGUGAAGAAGGCCUUUUGGUUGUAAAGCACUUUAAGCGAGGAGGAGGCUACUUGGAUUAAUACUCUAGGAUAGUGGACGUUACUCGCAGAAUAAGCACCGGCUAACUCUGUGCCAGCAGCCGCGGUAAUACAGAGGGUGCGAGCGUUAAUCGGAUUUACUGGGCGUAAAGCGUGCGUAGGCGGCUUCUUAAGUCGGAUGUGAAAUCCCUGAGCUUAACUUAGGAAUUGCAUUCGAUACUGGGAAGCUAGAGUAUGGGAGAGGAUGGUAGAAUUCCAGGUGUAGCGGUGAAAUGCGUAGAGAUCUGGAGGAAUACCGAUGGCGAAGGCAGCCAUCUGGCCUAAUACUGACGCUGAGGUACGAAAGCAUGGGGAGCAAACAGGAUUAGAUACCCUGGUAGUCCAUGCCGUAAACGAUGUCUACUAGCCGUUGGGGCCUUUGAGGCUUUAGUGGCGCAGCUAACGCGAUAAGUAGACCGCCUGGGGAGUACGGUCGCAAGACUAA